rnacentral:rRNA from 2 species
AGAGUUUGAUCAUGGCUCAGAUUGAACGCUGGCGGCAGGCCUAACACAUGCAAGUCGAGCGGUAGCACAGAGAGCUUGCUCUCGGGUGACGAGCGGCGGACGGGUGAGUAAUGUCUGGGAAACUGCCUGAUGGAGGGGGAUAACUACUGGAAACGGUAGCUAAUACCGCAUAAUGUCGCAAGACCAAAGUGGGGGACCUUCGGGCCUCAUGCCAUCAGAUGUGCCCAGAUGGGAUUAGCUAGUAGGUGGGGUAACGGCUCACCUAGGCGACGAUCCCUAGCUGGUCUGAGAGGAUGACCAGCCACACUGGAACUGAGACACGGUCCAGACUCCUACGGGAGGCAGCAGUGGGGAAUAUUGCACAAUGGGCGCAAGCCUGAUGCAGCCAUGCCGCGUGUGUGAAGAAGGCCUUCGGGUUGUAAAGCACUUUCAGCGGGGAGGAAGGCGGUGAGGUUAAUAACCUCAUCGAUUGACGUUACCCGCAGAAGAAGCACCGGCUAACUCCGUGCCAGCAGCCGCGGUAAUACGGAGGGUGCAAGCGUUAAUCGGAAUUACUGGGCGUAAAGCGCACGCAGGCGGUCUGUCAAGUCGGAUGUGAAAUCCCCGGGCUCAACCUGGGAACUGCAUUCGAAACUGGCAGGCUAGAGUCUUGUAGAGGGGGGUAGAAUUCCAGGUGUAGCGGUGAAAUGCGUAGAGAUCUGGAGGAAUACCGGUGGCGAAGGCGGCCCCCUGGACAAAGACUGACGCUCAGGUGCGAAAGCGUGGGGAGCAAACAGGAUUAGAUACCCUGGUAGUCCACGCUGUAAACGAUGUCGAUUUGGAGGUUGUGCCCUUGAGGCGUGGCUUCCGGAGCUAACGCGUUAAAUCGACCGCCUGGGGAGUACGGCCGCAAGGUUAAAACUCAAAUGAAUUGACGGGGGCCCGCACAAGCGGUGGAGCAUGUGGUUUAAUUCGAUGCAACGCGAAGAACCUUACCUGGUCUUGACAUCCACAGAACUUUCCAGAGAUGGAUUGGUGCCUUCGGGAACUGUGAGACAGGUGCUGCAUGGCUGUCGUCAGCUCGUGUUGUGAAAUGUUGGGUUAAGUCCCGCAACGAGCGCAACCCUUAUCCUUUGUUGCCAGCGGUCCGGCCGGGAACUCAAAGGAGACUGCCAGUGAUAAACUGGAGGAAGGUGGGGAUGACGUCAAGUCAUCAUGGCCCUUACGACCAGGGCUACACACGUGCUACAAUGGCAUAUACAAAGAGAAGCGACCUCGCGAGAGCAAGCGGACCUCAUAAAGUAUGUCGUAGUCCGGAUUGGAGUCUGCAACUCGACUCCAUGAAGUCGGAAUCGCUAGUAAUCGUAGAUCAGAAUGCUACGGUGAAUACGUUCCCGGGCCUUGUACACACCGCCCGUCACACCAUGGGAGUGGGUUGCAAAAGAAGUAGGUAGCUUAACCUUCGGGAGGGCGCUUACCACUUUGUGAUUCAUGACUGGGGUGAAGUCGUAACAAGGUAACCGUAGGGGAACCUGCGGUUGGAUCACCU